GAUGAACGCUGGCGGCGUGCUUAACACAUGCAAGUCGAACGAUGAAGCCCAGCUUGCUGGGUGAUUAGUGGCGAACGGGUGAGUAACACGUGAGUAACCUGCCCUUAACUCUGGGAUAAGCCUGGGAAACUGGGUCUAAUACCGGAUAGGAGCGCCUACCGCAUGGUGGGUGUUGGAAAGAUUUAUCGGUUUUGGAUGGACUCGCGGCCUAUCAGCUUGUUGGUGAGGUAAUGGCUCACCAAGGCGACGACGGGUAGCCGGCCUGAGAGGGUGACCGGCCACACUGGGACUGAGACACGGCCCAGACUCCUACGGGAGGCAGCAGUGGGGAAUAUUGCACAAUGGGCGAAAGCCUGAUGCAGCGACGCCGCGUGAGGGAUGACGGCCUUCGGGUUGUAAACCUCUUUCAGUAGGGAAGAAGCGAAAGUGACGGUACCUGCAGAAGAAGCACCGGCUAACUACGUG
rnacentral:rRNA from 1 species